rnacentral:rRNA from 1 species
GACGAACGCUGGCGGCGUGCCUAACACAUGCAAGUCGAACGGAGAUCCUUGGAUUGAGACUUCGGUCAAAUGAAUUGGAUCUUAGUGGCGAACGGGUGAGUAACGCGUGAGCAACCUGCCUUUCAGAGGGGGACAACAGUUGGAAACGACUGCUAAUACCGCAUAACGUAUCGAGGGGGCAUCCCCAUGAUACCAAAGAUUUAUCGCUGAGAGAUGGGCUCGCGUCUGAUUAGAUAGUUGGUGAGGUAACGGCUCACCAAGUCGACGAUCAGUAGCCGGACUGAGAGGUUGAACGGCCACAAGGGGACUGAGACACGGCCCUU